rnacentral:lncRNA from 1 species
UUAUAAUUGACACUUGGUGGCAAAGGGAAGAUUACUCUAUUUGAGAAUUAAUUGCUUUCCCAGUACCAGUUUACUGGUUGCCAUUUUUGGGAACCAGACAAAGAGUUGUCAAGGACUACUCAUAAAAAAGAAAAGAGUAAUCAUACUAAUGUUUAAAGUCAAUAAUAUAAUGUACAAGCAUAUAUUACCAAGUUUUACUUUGCUGUUACAAAUGAAAUUGAGAAGUCACUAUACUUUUGGAGUUUGAAAAUGAAAAGAAGGAAG